GUGAGGGAAAGUUGAAAAGAACUUUGAAGAGAGAGUUCAAGAGUACGUGAAACCGUUCAGGGGUAAACCUGAGAAACCCAAAAGAUCGAAUGGGGAGAUUCAUCGUCAGCGGCGCUGGCUUCACGGUGGUGCGUGAUGCUCCGAGUGGCUUCGGCUCACGGCGAGAGCACGCCAUCACCGACGAACGUCUGGCGUCGUAGUCGUGCACUUCUCCCCUAGUAGAACGUCGCGACCCGUUGGGUGUCGGUCUACGGCCCGGGUGGGCGCCUGCCACGUCGUUACCAUGCGUACGCGGCAGACCCCCGGCCGCCCGACCGGCUGCCCGGCGGUACUCGUACGGUAUCGGGCCGCAGCAAUCUUGUGUGCGUCCUGGCCCGCCGCAAGCGCGGUCAGUGUAUUCCCGGAGGUGCGGACUUAGCGCCGUCCCCGGGCCUGGCCCGCUGCUCGCUGGCGGUGUCCUCGGACUGGCCAAGCCACGAAUUACCGGUCGGCGACGCUACUGCUUUGGGUACUCUCAGGACCCGUCUUGAAACACGGACCAAGGAGUCUAACAUGUACGCGAGUCAUUGGGAUUAUGGAAACCUAAAGGCGAAAUGAAAGUGAAGGUCGGCCUUAGCGUCGACCGAGGGAGGAUGGGCCGCGUUUCGAUUCGGCCUCGCACUCCCGGGGCGUCUCGUUCUCAUUGCGAGAGGAGGCGCACCUAGAGCGUACACGUUGGGACCCGAAAGAUGGUGAACUAUGCCUGGUCAGGACGAAGUCAGGGGAAAUCCUGAUGGAGGUCCGUAGCGAUUCUGACGUGCAAAUCGAUCGUCGGAACUGGGUAUAGGGGCGAAAGACUAAUCGAACCAUCUAGUAGCUGGUUCCCUCCGAAGUUUCCCUCAGGAUAGCUGGCACUCGUUCGUUCCUCGUGAACGGCGCAUGAGUCUCAUCUGGUAAAGCGAAUGAUUAGAGGCCUUGGGGCCGAAACGACCUCAACCUAUUC
rnacentral:rRNA from 1 species